GUUCAUACGAAUAACACACGAGUACAUACGAGUAACAUACGAGUAAAACACAAGUACAUACGAGUACAUACGAGUAGAAUACGAGUACAUACGAGUAAAAUACGACUAGUAAACUUGUUUUUAGUAUUUGUAGAUUGAAUACAGGCAAAAAGAUCGUCUUUUCUGUCGAAAAACGCGGAAUGGGAGAACGGGGAAUGGAGGAACAGGGAAUGGAGGGAACGGAGAACGGGGAAUGGAGGAACGAGUAACGGGGGGGGGGGGAAUCGAGCAAUUAUGAAUUAUUAUUAAUACGUAAUAUUAAUCAUAUGUACGGGGGGAAAAGAACAGAAAAAAGAAACAGAAAUUCGACAGGAUAAACGGGAAUCAGGGAAUUACGAAACUAUAAAACGGACUCUGGUGUCUUGGGAAUUAGAAAACCGCUCAGUGAAUUAAAACUAGCAAAGAAAUUUAGCGAAGCUUUCCUUUAUUAGUACAGCGUAUCAUAAAAAAGUCAAUCCACAUUGCUUAUGUCCGAUCAUUCAGUAAUAUUAAUAAUAAUAACAUUGCUUAUGUCAUUACCAGGGGCGAAACUUGAGGGGGGGUAUGGGGGGUGUUGCACCCCCCCAAAAUACGAAUCAUCCCGAUUGGCAGGGCAAUCAAAGGUCUCUUAUAAAUAAGUGAUAGCACAUAGGCGUACCGGGCCGGGGCAAUAUUCGAUCAACAGUCGGGCAAUUUUGGUUUGAAAAAAAAAAAUGGGACAAAUUCAGUCAAUUUUAGCUAAAAUUAAGUAAAUUUUUUCGCAAAUUGUGUG